ACACUCCCAUUGGCAGCAUAUACACUAAAACUGGAAAGAUACAGAGAUUAGCAUGGCCUCUGUGUGAUAAGAACAGCAGAUUUGUGAAGUAUUCCAUAUUUUU
ensembl:snRNA U6 U6 spliceosomal RNA